rnacentral:rRNA from 1 species
GAUCAUGGCUCAGGAUGAACGCUGGCGGCGUGCUUAACACAUGCAAGUCGAACGGAGCCUAUCGAGUGCUUGCACUGAGAAAGCUUAGUGGCGGACGGGUGAGUAACGCGUGGGUAACCUGCCCUGUACCGGGGGGAUAACAGUUGGAAACGGCUGCUAAUACCGCAUAAGCCCACAGCACCGCAUGGUGCAGGGGGAAAAACUCCGGUGGUACAGGAUGGACCCGCGUCUGAUUAGCUAGUUGGUGAGGUAACGGCCCACCAAGGCGACGAUCAGUAGCCGGCCUGAGAGGGUGAACGGCCACAUUGGGACUGAGACACGGCCCAAACUCCUACGGGAGGCAGCAGGUGGGGAAUAUUGCACAAGUGGGGAAACCCUGAUGCAGCCGACGCCGCGUGAGUGAUGAAGUAUUUCGGUAUGUAAAACUCUAUCAGCAGGGAAGAAAAUGACGGUACCUGACUAAGAAGCACCGGCUAAAUACGUGCCAGCAGCAGC